rnacentral:tRNA from 1 species
ACCAGUGUGGCAUAGUGGUUUGAGUAUUGGACUGUGACUCUGGAGAUGAGGGUUCAAUUCCCAACUCAGCCA